AUGGCUGCCCCGAGCGCAGGAACGAAGUGCGGCCUCGGGGGCCGUGGCCUCUGGCUGCGGAGGCUGCCUGCUGCGGGGGAGCCGGCCUCCCGGGGCGGCCGGGCUGCGGGUUCGGAGCCCGCGUGGGAGCCCGCAGACGUGCCUGCGGUUUCUCUUGAUGACCUUGGAGAGGAGGCUCUGCGAGCCGAGAAAGACCGUCUUGCUUUGGAGCAUCUGUUUCUCCGUCGCGUCAGCCCCUUUCCUAACCCUGCAAGCUUGUUGUGGCUUGUUUCGGAAAUGCCGAGACCAGUGCUCACACUUGAGGGUGGGAGAAGGGAAGAAGGGAAGAGACCGGGCGCCCCCCCCCCCCCCGCUCCUCUUCCACCGCCCCCCCCCAGUCCCCCCAUCCACAACCCAACAGAAAACCAACCCUGCAGUGUGAUCUCCAGAAAGCCAGGGAUUGCUUGCAGAUUCUCCGUCACACCUUCCUUCACUGACUCGAAUGACCUUGGGGAAAAGAAUUGUGUGCUUCGGAGCUCCUGGUUGCCUUAUCUGUUGAUUGGGGAGAAAAUAUUCUCUGGACCUCCCUGCCUUUUGGGGACGUUUGCAGAGGUUUUGUUUUUUUUUUUGUUUUUUUUUUUGUUUUUUUUUGUUCAGAGCAUUUUAAGGACUGCUGCAGUUCUGGCCUGUAAGGAGCUGGACUCGUGUUGGGGGAACUCAGAUCACCUAGUCAAGAGGCAGCUGCCAUUGAAAGAUAGCGAGUGCCUGUUUCCAGGACAGCGAGCACCAGGGGAGCCACCAGAGGUGUUAAAGGAAAGCUUAAACUACCUAAAUGACUGAUAAUGGUCUCCGGCUGCCCAAGAAGGUUGUGGAUGCCAAGAGAAAGGUAACCAUUUCUCAUCUCCUCGAGUGGAACUGGAUGUCUCUAGGAGCC
rnacentral:lncRNA from 1 species